GUGGGGAAUAUUGGACAAUGGGGGCAACCCUGAUCCAGCCAUGCCGCGUGUGUGAAGAAGGCCUUUUGGUUGUAAAGCACUUUAAGCGAGGAGGAGGCUCUUCUAGUUAAUACCUAGGAUGAGUGGACGUUACUCGCAGAAUAAGCACCGGCUAACUCUGUGCCAGCAGCCGCGGUAAUACAGAGGGUGCGAGCGUUAAUCGGAUUUACUGGGCGUAAAGCGUACGUAGGCGGCUGUUUAAGUCGGAUGUGAAAUCCCUGAGCUUAACUUAGGAAUUGCAUUCGAUACUGGGAAGCUAGAGUAUGGGAGAGGAUGGUAGAAUUCCAGGUGUAGCGGUGAAAUGCGUAGAGAUCUGGAGGAAUACCGAUGGCGAAGGCAGCCAUCUGGCCUAAUACUGACACUGAGGUGCGAAAGCAUGGGGAGCAAACAGGAUUAGAAACCCCUGUAGUCC
rnacentral:rRNA from 1 species